GCAGAAUAGAAAAUUUUAUUAAUUAGUCAUAAAUAGUUUCUGGAAAAAAAAUCUUCAGUAAAUUAAUUAAGGAUAUCUUUCAAUCCUGAAGAAUAUUAGAAUGCAGUGCACUUGUAUGGUUGGAUGGAACAUACACUUUUGAACCUAGAAAAUAUCUGAGCUGAAAAGGUAGAGGAUAAAGUCUAGGAAAAGUCUAUGCAGAUUCCAACCUUGAAUCUUCCCACAAGUCCUUGGACAAACGGUAAGAAUCUACCCUUCUUCCCAUUAAUUAAAGCAAGCCUAAAUUGCAGGCACAUAAUUUAAAAAAGGAAUAUUCGCACGAUAAAGAAUUGUAAAACGAACACGCGAGAGGUCCUUUUGUUCCACCACGCAACGAAGUGAAAACGAAGAAUAAGGUCAAGGGGUGAGAGGCUCGAACAGGAAAGCAAUUUACAACACACCGUUGCAGCCUGCAGUUCAGCGAGUGAAAGUCGAUGAUUGCGAUGAAUCGUAUAAUCAUUUUUCAUGCAACCAGAUAGAACGGAUUUGGUGUAAAGUUCAGCACGAAAGGUAUUCCACGAGUUUCGCAUCCCUGGAUCCUUGCUAUUUUAUUCUGGAAACUGGAUACACCAUAUUACCUGCGGUUAAACGGGGCUGUGCCGUGGACACGGCGGUGUAACAUAGAUGGAUCACAAGGACACGAGUACCUGAGGAAACGUACACGCAGAACGUGGUAUCAGAGGAAAGCUUCAGAUCCAUUUGCAGGAUUGAAUAACACACUUUUUGCUACUAUUCCUUGCUUAUAGAAAAGAAAUUUAAUUCCCACAAUGUGGCACGACGAUAGCAGGAAUACAGCUUCAAUGUUAUGAUAACCGGGAAUAACAGGAUAAAUGGAUCUAGAUAUAAAUAUAGAUUUAGAGAUGAGGAAGGUAGAGAUUUAGGGUUGUAGAAAAUUUUAAUAUAGAUCUUGUAUUUGAUGUUUAAUCUUCUGAUGUUGCUGUUAAUGGCAGUAUGUCUACAUGACUAGUCUGACAAGAAAAUUACUAUGAAACAGUUUUGGUAGUUGUGAUGACUUAUGGUUAUCAUUUAUAGUGACUACAGAACGCUAAAUAUUUAAAAGGGUUUCAAGAACAUCGGAAAGGAUUCUAAAAGCUGUGACCUAGUUUAGCCAUUCUAAUCAUCCAACAUUAAUUCCACGAAGUCAAUGUAGGACGACUUAGAUGAGGAACUAGAUCGUGUCCAUCGGUGAAACUGUCUUCGAAGAAUCUCAAGGAUUGCGUUAGAUCAAUGGUUUCGUUUUGUCAUUAAACGAGACAAUUGAAUAAAUAAUUCCUUCAAACGACUGACAUGGUACUAGGAAAAAGGACUCUCGCUAUAUUGCCGCCGACUUGAGGUAGUAGAUAUAUUCCUAAUUAAUACAAGACGAAAGAAAUUGAAUUUUCAAUUCAAUUGUAUAUUUUAUAUUCGUUUCAAUAAAUCUGUAGGAUCGCAGUGUAUUAAAUCAUCCACAUUUUCGCUGUGUCGGGUGCAAGCAACAAUUUUUGCGUAACGCCGUAGAAUUUAUGAAAACAGGACAGAAUUUAUGCAGUGCAUUUAAACGAAACCCAGGGAAAUCUCGUCCCAACUCGUGCUGAAUUAUUAAGCGAAAUUAAAUUUGGUUCAUACCGGUUAGAAUAUUAAUCAAUGGGGUUUAACGCUCAGUUGUUCGGUAAUUAAAUACCCUAGAGAACCGAAACGCAGGGUUUAUUCGAUCGAUAAUGUUGGUACAUUGUUUCAUAGUCAUUUUAAGUAUAAUUAAUAAUAUAACAGUGCAAUCGUAAAGUUGUGCUAUUUACUGUGGUCAUAAACUUGCACUCGGGUAGAAUAUAAAAACCAUGACGGAAUUAAUAUAUAAAAUGAGCGGAUUAAUUAAUACAAUAUUUUCACCCUACAUUUGAUUAGCCCCAUAAAAGGCGUACGUGUCAAUAUAUCCUAACGGACGAAGUAACGCGAGCAGAGGUGAACGCCUGAAAUUGGACACCGGUAAUUACGAUAGGCCGCUUUUAUCGUUGCAUUUCGCCCCGGUUCUACGUGAACGGAAAUUACACCCUCGUAUGGCGCAUCCACGGUUCGUCCUUGCUAGCCACGCGAAUUACCAGGGAUGUUUGCUCAGAGGGACGAUAUACCGCGAGUGUGUGGAACGAACGCUUUGGGGAAAAAAUUCGAACGGAAUGGCGUUGUCGGUUAUAUACCUAGCGGCUAUAUUUGAGUUCACUGACACUUUCGAGCACGCGCGAUAGAUACCGCUUUCGUCUGCUUUCGUGCACGUGUAUUCGUGUUCUUGUUGCCACCGUAUUGGGAGCAUUCUAACAGUAUCGUAAUCAUGGUUAGGCAUAUCUCAUUCGCGCUGCUAACGAGGGAAGCACCUGCAUUGUCCAACUUCGAUUUCGAUCGAUUUUUGUCGGAUGACGACAAAUACAUACCGGGCAUGCAUUUAGAAGCCUUGCUAUGCAACAAGAAACUAGUACAUGUGUUUUUUUUUACUCAUUACGCGUUAAUCACUGCAGUCAUUCGUAAUUGGCGCGAAAUUGUUUUCGUACGUACUUUUCGGUGAUCUUCGGAAAUGUUCGGAUUCUUUCGUUAGCAAUAGCCUGCACUUCGCGCUUUUUUACAUAUAAAAAAAUAAUAGAACAUAAAAGAUAGAAAAGUUAGAAUAUAAAUAUCCUGAGGAAAUCUAGGAAUCUAGAGGAUGUAAGUAGUCGCCCUAUCUUUCCUUAAAUCCGUCACUGGCAGACAGUACAUUUAAAUUUGAAGCGUGAACAUGAAAUUGGAAUAAUUUAGAAACGAUUUAUUUACAUACUGACGUAUUUUACGUAUGCGAUCUGAUCAUGUAUUUUUAGAAACGACCGUAAACUACUCGACAUGAUACACACAUACUGUAAAAAUGGGGAACGGUAUAAUUUUAUCGUCAAUUCGAUAGAGUUCUCAGAAGGCCGCUAUGAAACCGGUUUGCAGCGAACGGUAUGGUGUAUAAGACCAUAUAAAUGCAUCCCUGUCCAAGAUCCUUUUGUGUCAAAAUUUUGGUGCUUAAUUAAGACGCCUCGUGUUACGUUAACCUUUUUUUUCAUGUUAAUUUUAAUUCAUUGUCAUAAAAACAGAUGUUUUGUUUACAAACGCCGUGAUAAUACUCGAUGAAUAUUAAUUCGAAUAUUUAAAAUAAAUAAUUUUAUUACGCCAUUUAAUGAAUUUAUUAUGAUUGCAUCUGCUUUAAAAACUUCACAGAAAUGUAUUACCAAUCGAGUAUUUCCUGGGUCGUGACCUCGAUAUGAAAUACAUAUGUAUAUUACAUUUACAUGUUUAAUUCAACAUGCAUACAGUGCUGUCUUUAAACUUUGCAGUGCCCGACGCAGAAAUCAGUAUUAUUGAGA
rnacentral:lncRNA from 1 species